CACCCGUGCGGCCGUGCCCUCCACCAGGCAUCCGCCGCCCCCAAAUCUCCCCAUCCACCGUGCGGCCGUGCCCCGCCGCCAGCCAUCCCGCCGCCGCCGGACGCCCUCGACCCGACCACUGCCAACCCCAUCACCGCGGACCGCCCUCCACCCCGACUAGCUCCGCCGUCGCCCCCAACUACCCCACAGCAGUGCCGCCGAGCAGCCUACUGAUGCGGACCACCACUGUUGCCGAGCCACACCACCGGUGACCACCAUCCUCCGUCGAACCUCUUCCCUCGCCACCACACUCUUCUUCACGAGCUUGCUCCCCCGAGCAGACCUCCUCCCUAAGUCUAUCAAGCUAGUAGUUCUUCAGAUGGGAUUGGCGAGCGCAAUAGUUUUGGAGUUUGUGGACUAUUUUCUUAUGAGAGAAGAACAAGUGGGGAAGUCGAACAGUGGUAGUUCUAUUGAUUGCUCUGGCGCAAUAUUUGUAUUGUCUGUAGGGGAGGGUUCUGAUUUAUUUCUUCUGAACCCGAAUGAGGCCGAUAGCCCAAAUAAAUCUUUGCUCUAGUUAUAUUUAGCCUUCUGUUGCAUCAGGGGCAAACAAGUGCUAUUUUGUUCCUGCAGUUCAGCAACCAAAAGUGUGUGGUUCAUGCAUUGUGCAAUUUACUUUGUCAUGCUUUACUUCAGUGUUGAUGCAUCUUUUUACAUCAUCUUGUUUGUUUAUUUGUAGAGCACUGCGUAAAAGCAUAAUGUUGAAGUAACUCGAGUUCUUAGGUCCCAAACGACUAGAGAUGUUGAUGACAAAUACAUGGCAAAAGUACAAAGGCUACCACAAGCAAACCUGAGGAGUUGGAAGUGGACAAGUCCAUGGCAAAAGUAGGAAUGCGUCCACAAGCAAGCUGAGGUGAGGUAAUAUUCAUGUUUCUCUUGGCUUUGAGGUCUAAGUGGGUUAUUCUUUUUCUUGUUGGAUGUCUAUUUUUCCAUCUACUGCUCUACGUUCUCCAGAGAUGAUGCUUUUUACUAUUUGCAAUCACGUUUCACACUCUCACCACAAUAGCAAAUCAAUUAGAAUAGAAUCCUGCUGGUUGUGGUUGUCGAUAUAGUUUCUUAUUCUUGCAUGCCAGCUAGAUCUUGAAUUAGAGUGUUAGACGACAUAAUCAUAUUUCAUAGAAUGGUAGGUGAUAUGUAGGAAAGUGAACCGAUAUGUAGGGUACCCUAGACUCUGUUUACAACAUCAUUGAGAUUGAUUCUGUCUGAUAGAAUUCAGCAAAGCAGAUUUGCUAUUUGUUAGCUAUGACCUCUGAGUCUGAAAGCAUAGGCUCAAAUAUGGUAGUUUCAAUCAUAAUGAAUGGAUCAUAGAUCGCCACAGGCAACCCAGGUUGAAAACUUAAUAAGGGCACUAAGAAGUAGAACAUCCUGAAGUGGCGUGCAGAGAUAUUUUAGCUGCAUAUUCCCUAUUGUUUUUUAUGGAGUAGUCGUUGUCAGUGGGGUGUUGAGAAGUGAAAACACGAAUAUCUUUAGUUGGUUAAGUUAAUGUCAUCGUGUUGUCAUCAUGUCUUAAAGGGAACAUGGAUGUAGAAUGUAUGUAUGUGCCUACUUGGUUCCACUAUGCAGUGCACACUGCCGAAAAAGUUCGAUUGUAAUAUUAAGUGUAAAUAUCAAGGAACCACAACUGUUUGGGCAUAGGUUCUAGAAAACACAAUUUUUGGGGGCGCAGACCUCGAGCUAGCUAUCCUGGCGCAGGGGUUGCGCCACUGCUUCAUCUCGUCCUCGACAGAACUACUCCACUCAGGCAACUAAAAACCCAUAAGGCACAUACUUGGUGUUUCUUCUCCUUUAAGACCCUCUACUUUGAGCAUGUUGCUCAGUCCAAGGCAAGUUCUUUGUCCAAUUUUCUGUGUACAAAUCCUGUCUAAUAUUUUGAACAAUUACCCUGUGUUAUGUGCAUGUGGGGGAGAGGAUAUGAAUGGAUCUGAAGAGCAGCAAGAUUACAAUGGCGAGUGGAGAGACUGAUGCUGUGUUGCUUGCUGAUGCUACUCCUUUUCCCGUCUUCUGCUUUGGUGACCCUCCUCUACACGCUAUGCUGAUUGUGGUGGUGCUACCGAGCUGCCCCUCCUCUUCUCAUAAGAUUCGUUCUUGUUCUUUUUCUGAUAGAUAGAAGUACUAGAUUGUGCCUUUAUUAGUUGCAUAUUUAUAUUUAGCAAGUGAUCAUUUAGCAUGCAGAUGCACUUUGGACUAACCUCAAAUUUCACUUUGCUUUUUUCAGCUCAGCAUUAUAAAUAAGGCAUUGAACACAUCUCCUGAAGGUUUGACAAGAUCUUGAAGGUGUUGGAGGUUUGGCAAGAUCUGCAAGGCGUCCAUACUUAAUUUUUUUCUGCUAAUUUUGGUGGUUAUUUUAGCGCAUAAGCCGAUGUAUGCUCAUUUUCGCUGUGUAGCACAUCUAGAAACAUGUAUUUUUUUUCCUUUUGUGGCACAACAUCCUUGAUGUAUUUAGAAACAAGUAUUU